rnacentral:rRNA from 1 species
UACGGGGGGGGCAAGGCGUUGUUCGGAAUUACUGGGCGUAAAGGGUCUGUAGGUGGCCAACUAAGUCAGACGUGAAAUCCCUCAGCUUAACUGGGGAACUGCGUCUGAUACUGGAUGGCUUGAGUGCAGGAGAGGAACGCGGAAUUCCAGGUGUAGCGGUGAAAUGCGUAGAUAUCUGGAGGAACACCGGUGGCGAAGGCGGCGUUCUGGACUGCAACUGACACUGAGAGACGAAAGCCAGGGGAGCAAACGGG